rnacentral:lncRNA from 1 species
AAGGGUUAAAGACUAAUUUAGUUCAUUACCAGUUUUAUGGAUUGAAUUGUGUGAUUCAGAUUCCGAUUAUACAAAAUCUGAAAAUGGAAAGAAGUUUUCGGUAUCAAUUUCAACCUCAAACCUGGAGUUUCCUACUCCUCCUCAGUUGCAAUCCGAAAUUCAAAAUGGGCCUCUUCAAAAUGCAUCAUCUACUAUCUGCUCUCUCUCGUCAUUAUUUUUAAACGGUUUAUCCUUUACUUAAAAAGGACAACCAAACUACACUACCAUCAUCGAUGUUAACGCCAGUGCUUACUAUAGCACUGCAAGUAGAGCAGUUAUCACCUGAUUUGGUCAAUUGUCAUGUUGGAGAAAAUGAUCAUCGAAAACUAAUAUUAUUAGAAGAGAUUAAACAAAAUAAUCAAACUAUAAUUUUUCUUCUGCAACAAGUAUCAGCACAACAGCAGCGUGGUAAUAUAGAAACAAGUUUUGAUGAGUUUGGGCUUCCUGUUUCAUUAAUGGAAUAUAUACAAAAACUAGAAACUGAUUGCCUUGACAAUGACCUCUGAGGAAAGCUUAUGCUGUUCGGCGUAAUCCUACAACAUGUCGCGGUACGGAUGCAAGGUUGCUUGUGCCAUUAAAGCAUGGCUUCGAUUCGCGAAAUUCGUGUGGAGGGGGGAGAAGAAACAUCAUUUUAACGAUUUUAGUUAUGCAGUUUUAUAUAUAGUUUAUGAUUUUUUUGUAUGUGUGUAAUAG